GCCGCGGUGGCUCAAAGGUAGAGCACGUCCCUCCUACAUCCUAGUGGCAAGGAUGAGGUUGCGGGUUCGAGUCCCGUCCGCGGUA
rnacentral:tRNA from 1 species